AUACAAACAGAGAUUCACAAACAAGAAGGGGAAUUCGUAGCACCUUUUCCUGUCGCGAAAAAAAGUCUUUACGCGAGAGCAAUAGAGGUUGGGAUACAUCUAUCUCUUCUGAGCAACUUCUUUUGGAUUCUUAAGACCACCCUUGCAGUAGGAUACCAUCUGCUUUGGGUUCUUUAUUAUCUCCUUCGAGGGAUUUUUAGGAUCGUUCAAGCUAUAUAUAUUUAG
rnacentral:rRNA from 1 species